rnacentral:rRNA from 1 species
UGGGGAAUAUUGCACAAUGGGGGAAACCCUGAUGCAGCGACGCCGCGUGAACGAAGAAGUAUUUCGGUAUGUAAAGUUCUAUCAGCAGGGAAGAUAAUGACGGUACCUGACUAAGAAGCACCGGCUAAUUACGUGCCAGCAGCCGCGGUAACACGUAAGGUGCGAGCGUUGUUCGGAAUUAUUGGGCGUAAAGGGCAUGUAGGCGGACCUGCAAGCUUGGAGUGAAAUCCACGGGCUCAACCCGUGAACUGCUCCGGGAACUGCAGGACUCGAAUCGCUGAGGGGGAGCCGGAAUUCCAGGUGUAGGGGUGAAAUCUGUAGAUAUCUGGAAGAACACCAAUGGCGAAGGCAGGCUUCUAGCAGACGAUUGACGCUGAGGUGCGAAGGUGCGGGGAGCAAACAGGAUUAGAUACCCUGGUAGU